GCUGCUAACCUGUUGCAUAUGGCACAUGCAAUCCUCACAAAAUCACCGAUGUAAGGUAUUUGACUUGAUGGUAGGAUGUGCCCUAAAUACCGCCAUUGUUUAAUCCUAGCAUUUGCUGACUCCACAACCCAUCGAAUCUGUAAUGUAGGCAUUUUGGCACAAAUUCCCAUCUCUUGGAGGUAAUCCAAAGAAUCCCUAAAUCCACGGUCAACCACAAAGAUAUCAUUCUCGUUGACCCAGCUCCGUAUGUCCUCGAUAUUGCUGCGCAUUAUAUGGUUCAAAAUGGUAGCGUCAUUGUUGCGAGCUAAGUAGGGGCCCAAAACAGAAAUGAAGUAGCCUGUCGUCGAUACAAUAAUCAUUGGCUUCACAAGUGGUCUCCCUUUGUGAAGGCUAAAAGACUGUCGUUGAAACUUAAAAUUUCCGCUUUUAUUGAUAUAAAUGUAAGUUCCAUCAAGGACAAGUAUUGCCUGUUGGGACAAUGCAUCACCAAAUAUGGAUUGGGCUAAAAGUCGAGUGUGUUCUUGAAUUAUCUUCUCUCUUGUCACAUGGCCAAAACCAAGAUUCCCAGUGACAAAUCCACCAUUCAUUAAUGCUGUGCGAAUUGUCUUUACUGCUCUGUAAAUGCUGGAUUUGGAUAUCCUAAACAAUGUUGAGAGGAUACAGUUGGAUUUUCCACCCCUGAGCUUCAUCAGGAAAAUGGCCAAACUCGUUCUGACAGUUCUCACUGGAGUUACCUUGACUUUUCCCUCAACAUAUGUCAGCAAGUCCUCAAACGCAGCUUUAGGGAUUCCUAGGAGAUUCUGAUGCUUUGGACAGCAGCGAGCCCCGGCAGGAAUGAUAACCUCUUUAGAAAUGAAGAUUUGAUGUCUUACUCCUAAGGGUACUACAACUAGCUUUGGACCUGGUCGCUUACAGAUACAGCAUGGGAAUGGGAGUGAUACAGAAGGAGGACUAAUUAGAAUAGCUGCUACUGCUGAUGAUGGUGCUGGACUGUCUUGAACCUGUGUCCUAACCGGCUUAAUCUUCUUCUGUUUAAUACGGGAGUAACACAUACACUGGCAUCUAUUGCACAAACAAUCAUGCUCAGAAGGUCUCCUCCCUGUGAGGGUGGUGAUCACUGUCCUAUAUUUAUCUGAAAUCCUGAACCUGUGUUUUGAUUUUACUCUCCGUGGACAGUUGAAACAGAGGAAAUGUUUGGGGCCACUCCCUGGCAUAUCUGAAAUAUUUAUUUCAAAUAAUUGAAAUACAAUUUUGGUUGGAUGAAAAUCUUGUCUUCAUGUUAAAACUUAUUGAUAGGUUAUUUUCCUAAAAUCUAAUUCUAAAUCAAUUAAUUUGUAUUUAAAACCUUUGACAUUUUUUUUUUACUAACUGAAAAUGUGUAUCUUCAAAUGUUUUGUUGAUUAUGUCAGUGGGAAAUAUAGAGGGGGUAUGGGGUUUACAACGAUGUAUUAAUUUAACAUUCCCUUAUUUAAAGAAAAAAUAAAUCUUUUCCUAAUCCUAAAGGAAAACUGCUGCAAAAAUACCACAUCUCCAUAAAUGAAAUAAUAUAGAUAAUAGGAAAAUGAUCAAUAGAAUUGUGUUGUGAUUCAUUUUCCUGUGAGGGGGGGGGGGGGUUGCUAAAUUUUGCUGUUUCACCUUUUUUUUAAAUUUAAUUUUGUUUGAACAUUUAUAACAUAUCUUUUCAACAUUAAUCUUGUCUAUAGCACAAAAUAAAUAUUAAAAAAUCAUUUAAAACGUUUGAUAUAUAUAUAAUAUAUAACGAAACGAAAAAGAAACUUGGAUCCACCACCAGUCAGUUUUUCCUUUUAGAGUUAUUGCCCUUCAAUCGAAAAAAGUAAACAACUAUAUGUGAAUGCUCUACAUUUCAACGCAAGUUAUGUUAAAUAUUAUUCAACAAGAUAUAUUUUGAUAUGUAUUUAAAGUGACUGAUUUAAUUAAAAACAAUCUUUUUGUG